CAUGCCGUUCCAGACGCCGUCAAUCUUUUUGCCGUGCUUGCCAUUGGUGACCAGGUAGAGGUCAUAGCUGAAGCCGAUGGUCUGCGCCAGCCGCUUCAGAAUGUCGAUGCAGAAGCCCUUGCAGCACCGCUUUUCUGGGCGGGGAGCGUCCGGCGGAGGGCUACGGGGAGCGAGAAAGUUUGGGGACGUCGCCACCGCCCCCCAGCUCCGCCCCGCCUUACGGAGGGACAAGCAGCCGCCAAAACUAUGGUGAAUAUCGUUUUCCGGGGAAGCUGAGGCUCAAAGGGAUUCCGUGACUUGUCCAAGGUGACCAAGCUGGAGGGCUGUGGGGAUUCUGGGUCCCAAGGAAGGAGCGGACUGGGGUCAAGACUACUGGACUUCAGGGGAGGAUUCUGAAGCCAGAACUCCUGGAUCCAGGCUGUCACCUGUGGGUGCGGUUGAGCUGGCUCCGGCAGGGCACGGAGUCUCGGAUGCAAGUGCCACUGAUGGGGUCGGCAGGCUCCACGAUGACGAAGGGCCGCUCUUCCAGAGUGGCCACCGUGAGGUGCUGCGUGUCAUCUACCGGCUGCAGGAAGCGGCCGUAGCGGGACCACAGCGGGUACUUGAGGCGGAGAGUCUGUUGCUCCCAGCUGCCCACCUUGGCCAAGAGCAGGGCAUUCAGGUUUCCUGAGGGGGGUCUUUCCAGAAUGUUCUGGCCUUCAUGGCCCUCCUUCCGUGGAGUCCCGAACUCCCGGCUCCUUCUCCCUCAGGUCCAGGAGUCUGGACCCCAGAAGCCCUUUCCUCCUUCAUACCCAGGAUGCUGGGCUUUCUUCUACCAGGACCCAGGGAACUGGGUUCCCAGUGUUUUCCCGUAGGACCCAGAAGUCCAGGCUCCCAGCCCCUUCCUCCCUCAGAGGCCAGAGGGCAGGGCCUCAGCCUUGACCUCCGCCAGGACCCAGGAGUCCAGCCCCUCUCCCAGGCCUGAGGUCAGGGCGCGGACUCACCACCUCCCACGUCCUGUCUCGGGUGAGGGAGAUGACCACCAGGGACGGGUUCACCAGGAAGCCGUCCUCGUUGAAGGAGUAAUCCCGGUUAUCCCAGGACCCUGUGUUCUUUGAAGAGAAGUCCACAGCCUUAUUCAUCUCUUGUGUUCCCAGCGCCCAGCAUGAACCCUAGUUCCUAGCGGGGGCUCCACAGCAGCCAGAGCAAUCUCUUCAAAAAUACGAAUUGGAUCGCCUCCCUUCUUGGUUGAAGACCUUCCAAUAACUACCUCGGAGACAAAGCCAGAGUCCUCAUGGAGGCCCACAAGGCCCCGAAUGGCCUGACCCCCGUUGCCUCUCUAACCUCAUCUCCUGCCACUCCCAACUCUUUAUUCUUCCUCAAACACCUCAAGUUCCUUCCAGCUUCAGGGGCUUUGCCCUUCACUGUCGCCUUUCUUGGGGACACUGCCCGCCCCCAGCUCCCCCAGCUCCUCUGUAAGGAACUUAGGCCGUUUCUGUCCUCAGGCCCAGCUCAGUUUACUUCCUCAGGGAGACCUCCCCUGACUGCCAUCUAUUGAAGCUGCAUUCUUGGUCAUUACUCUCCUCCAGAACAGAUUACAUCCUCUGCUCAUUUGUUUUGUCUGUCUCCUCAUUAGAAAUGCAAGCUCCGUAAGAGCAGGGACCUUGUCUAUUUUUUUU